rnacentral:lncRNA from 1 species
CCAUUUUUAUUAAGAAAAUGUCUAAUAGCAUGUAUGAUCUCAGGCUAACAUAAUUACAGGAAAAGUACAAGUUUUAGAAAUGUGGAUGUCUUGAUUCGUCGGGGCUAGGAUCACUGUUAAGACCCUUCGGUUGUUGUGAUGGUCUGAGAAAAUUAGUAUCUCCGUUCAGCAUAGAGAAAUGUGGAUGCCCUGAUCCGUCGGGGCUAGGACCACUGUUGAGACCCUUCCGUUGUUGUGAUGGUUUGAGAAAAUUAGCAUCUCCGUUCAGCAUAGAGAAAUGUGGAUGUCCUGAUCCGUCGGGGCUAGGACCACUGUUGAGACCCUUCCGUUGUUGUGAUGGUUUCCGUUCAGCACAGAGAAAUGUGGAUGUCCUGAUCCGUCGGGACUAGGACCACUGUUGAGACCCUUCAGUUGUUGUGAUGGUUUGAGAAAAUUAGCAUCUCCGUUCAGCAUAGAGAAAGAAAGAAAAAAAAAUAAGAAAGAAGCCUAAGCAUUGAAGUUUUCAGUCAUGAUAAGAGUGUAUAAACGCUGCUUCAACCAAAUAAGACAAUCUAG